CCCUGGGGGGUCCAGUGGUUAAGACUCUGCACUUCCACUGCAGGGGGCAUGGGUUCGAAUCCUGGUCAGGGA
rnacentral:tRNA from 1 species